GGGUGCGAUCAUACGAGCACUAAUGCAUAGGAUCCCAUCAGAACUCCGCAGUCAAGCGUGCUUGGGCGAGAGUAGUACUAGGAUGUGUGACCUCCUGGGAAGUCCUCGUGUUGCACCCU
rnacentral:rRNA from 1 species